UGGGGAAUUUUGGACAAUGGGGGCAACCCUGAUCCAGCAAUGCCGCGUGAGUGAAGAAGGCCUUCGGGUUGUAAAGCUCUUUUGUCUGGAAAGAAAUCGCCCGGGCUAAUACCCUGGGUGGAUGACGGUACCGGAAGAAUAAGCACCGGCUAACUACGUGCCAGCAGCCGCGGUAAUACGUAGGGUGCAAGCGUUAAUCGGAAUUACUGGGCGUAAAGCGUGCGCAGGCGGUUUUUCAAGACCGAUGUGAAAGCCCCGGGCUUAACCUGGGAAUGGCAUUGGUGACUGAGAGGCUAGAGUGUGUCAGAGGGGGGUAGAAUUCCACGUGUAGCAGUGAAAGUGCGUAGAGAUGUGGAGGAAUACCGAUGGCGAAGGCAGCCCCCUGGGAUAACACUGACGCU
rnacentral:rRNA from 1 species